rnacentral:rRNA from 1 species
GGUUAAGCGACUAAGCGUACACGGUGGAUGCCCUGGCAGUCAGAGGCGAUGAAGGACGUGCUAAUCUGCGAUAAGCGUCGGUAAGGUGAUAUGAACCGUUAUAACCGGCGAUUUCCGAAUGGGGAAACCCAGUGUGUUUCGACACACUAUCAUUAACUGAAUCCAUAGGUUAAUGAGGCGAACCGGGGGAACUGAAACAUCUAAGUACCCCGAGGAAAAGAAAUCAACCGAGAUUCCCCCAGUAGCGGCGAGCGAACGGGGAGCAGCCCAGAGCCUGAAUCAGUGUGUGUGUUAGUGGAAGCGUCUGGAAAGGCGCGCGAUACAGGGUGACAGCCCCGUACACAAAAAUGCACAUGCUGUGAGCUCGAUGAGUAGGGCGGGACACGUGGUAUCCUGUCUGAAUAUGGGGGGACCAUCCUCCAAGGCUAAAUACUCCUGACUGACCGAUAGUGAACCAGUACCGUGAGGGAAAGGCGAAAAGAACCCCGGCGAGGGGAGUGAAAAAGAACCUGAAACCGUGUACGUACAAGCAGUGGGAGCACGCUUAGGCGUGUGACUGCGUACCUUUUGUAUAAUGGGUCAGCGACUUAUAUUCUGUAGCAAGGUUAACCGAAUAGGGGAGCCGAAGGGAAACCGAGUCUUAACUGGGCGUUAAGUUGCAGGGUAUAGACCCGAAACCCGGUGAUCUAGCCAUGGGCAGGUUGAAGGUUGGGUAACACUAACUGGAGGACCGAACCGACUAAUGUUGAAAAAUUAGCGGAUGACUUGUGGCUGGGGGUGAAAGGCCAAUCAAACCGGGAGAUAGCUGGUUCUCCCCGAAAGCUAUUUAGGUAGCGCCUCGUGAAUUCAUCUCCGGGGGUAGAGCACUGUUUCGGCAAGGGGGUCAUCCCGACUUACCAACCCGAUGCAAACUGCGAAUACCGGAGAAUGUUAUCACGGGAGACACACGGCGGGUGCUAACGUCCGUCGUGAAGAGGGAAACAACCCAGACCGCCAGCUAAGGUCCCAAAGUCAUGGUUAAGUGGGAAACGAUGUGGGAAGGCCCAGACAGCCAGGAUGUUGGCUUAGAAGCAGCCAUCAUUUAAAGAAAGCGUAAUAGCUCACUGGUCGAGUCGGCCUGCGCGGAAGAUGUAACGGGGCUAAACCAUGCACCGAAGCUGCGGCAGCGACGCUGAUGCGUUGUUGGGUAGGGGAGCGUUCUGUAAGCCUGCGAAGGUGUGCUGUGAGGCAUGCUGGAGGUAUCAGAAGUGCGAAUGCUGACAUAAGUAACGAUAAAGCGGGUGAAAAGCCCGCUCGCCGGAAGACCAAGGGUUCCUGUCCAACGUUAAUCGGGGCAGGGUGAGUCGACCCCUAAGGCGAGGCCGAAAGGCGUAGUCGAUGGGAAACAGGUUAAUAUUCCUGUACUUGGUGUUACUGCGAAGGGGGGACGGAGAAGGCUAUGUUGGCCGGGCGACGGUUGUCCCGGUUUAAGCGUGUAGGCUGGUUUUCCAGGCAAAUCCGGAAAAUCAAGGCUGAGGCGUGAUGACGAGGCACUACGGUGCUGAAGCAACAAAUGCCCUGCUUCCAGGAAAAGCCUCUAAGCAUCAGGUAACAUCAAAUCGUACCCCAAACCGACACAGGUGGUCAGGUAGAGAAUACCAAGGCGCUUGAGAGAACUCGGGUGAAGGAACUAGGCAAAAUGGUGCCGUAACUUCGGGAGAAGGCACGCUGAUAUGUAGGUGAAGUCCCUCGCGGAUGGAGCUGAAAUCAGUCGAAGAUACCAGCUGGCUGCAACUGUUUAUUAAAAACACAGCACUGUGCAAACACGAAAGUGGACGUAUACGGUGUGACGCCUGCCCGGUGCCGGAAGGUUAAUUGAUGGGGUCAGCGCAAGCGAAGCUCUUGAUCGAAGCCCCGGUAAACGGCGGCCGUAACUAUAACGGUCCUAAGGUAGCGAAAUUCCUUGUCGGGUAAGUUCCGACCUGCACGAAUGGCGUAAUGAUGGCCAGGCUGUCUCCACCCGAGACUCAGUGAAAUUGAACUCGCUGUGAAGAUGCAGUGUACCCGCGGCAAGACGGAAAGACCCCGUGAACCUUUACUAUAGCUUGACACUGAACAUUGAGCCUUGAUGUGUAGGAUAGGUGGGAGGCUUUGAAGUGUGGACGCCAGUCUGCAUGGAGCCGACCUUGAAAUACCACCCUUUAAUGUUUGAUGUUCUAACGUUGACCCGUGAUCCGGGUUGCGGACAGUGUCUGGUGGGUAGUUUGACUGGGGCGGUCUCCUCCUAAAGAGUAACGGAGGAGCACGAAGGUUGGCUAAUCCUGGUCGGACAUCAGGAGGUUAGUGCAAUGGCAUAAGCCAGCUUGACUGCGAGCGUGACGGCGCGAGCAGGUGCGAAAGCAGGUCAUAGUGAUCCGGUGGUUCUGAAUGGAAGGGCCAUCGCUCAACGGAUAAAAGGUACUCCGGGGAUAACAGGCUGAUACCGCCCAAGAGUUCAUAUCGACGGCGGUGUUUGGCACCUCGAUGUCGGCUCAUCACAUCCUGGGGCUGAAGUAGGUCCCAAGGGUAUGGCUGUUCGCCAUUUAAAGUGGUACGCGAGCUGGGUUUAGAACGUCGUGAGACAGUUCGGUCCCUAUCUGCCGUGGGCGCUGGAGAACUGAGGGGGGCUGCUCCUAGUACGAGAGGACCGGAGUGGACGCAUCACUGGUGUUCGGGUUGUCAUGCCAAUGGCACUGCCCGGUAGCUAAAUGCGGAAGAGAUAAGUGCUGAAAGCAUCUAAGCACGAAACUUGCCCCGAGAUGAGUUCUCCCUGACCCUUUAAGGGUCCUGAAGGAACGUUGAAGACGACGACGUUGAUAGGCCGGGUGUGUAAGCGCAGCGAUGCGUUGAGCUAACCGGUACUAAUGAACCGUGAGGCUUAACCUU